rnacentral:rRNA from 1 species
GUGCUUGCACUUGCCGGCGACCGGCGCACGGGUGCGGAACGCGUAUCGAAUCUGCCCCUAUCUGGGGGAUACCCCAUGGAAACGUGGAAUAAUACCCCAUAGUAUUACUUUAUCGCAUGAUUUAGUAAUUAAAGAAUUUCGGAUAGAGAUGACGAUGCGUAUCAUUAGCUAGUAGGUAAGGUAACGGCUUACCUAGGCAACGAUGAUUAGGGGUCCUGAGAGGGAGAUCCCCCACACUGGUACUGAGACACGGACCAGACUCCUACGGGAGGCAGCAGUGAGGAAUAUUGGACAAUGGUCGAAAGACUGAUCCAGCCAUGCCGCGUGCAGGAUGACUGCCCUAUGGGUUGUAAACUGCUUUUAUACGGGAAGAAAAACACCUACGUGUAGGUGACUGACGGUACCGUAAGAAUAAGGACCGGCUAACUCCGUGCCAGCAGCCGCGGUAAUACGGAGGGUCCAAGCGUUAUCCGGAAUCAUUGGGUUUAAAGGGUCCGUAGGCGGGCUAUUAAGUCAGAGGUGAAAGUUUGCAGCUCAACUGUAAAAUUGCCUUUGAUACUGAUAGUCUUGAAUUGUAGUGAAGUGGUUAGAAUAUGUGGUGUAGCGGUGAAAUGCAUAGAUAUCACAUAGAAUACCGAUUGCGAAGGCAGAUCACUAACUAUAUAUUGACGCUGAGGGACGAAAGCGUGGGGAGCGAACGGGAUUAGAUACCCCGGUAGUCCACGCCGUAAACGAUGGAUACUAGCUGUUGGAUUUUUUCAGUGGCUAAGCGAAAGUGAUAAGUAUCCCACCUGGGGAGUACGUUCGC